rnacentral:rRNA from 1 species
UUGGACCUGAUAUCAAGUAAGAU